ensembl:ncRNA C35A11.9 ncRNA
GUAAGAAUUUAAUGAUCGAACGUUCUGAGAACGUUUUUUAACGUUCUGAGAGCGUUUUUUUUUUUGGAAAUUUUUACGAAGAAAAUAUAGAAACAUUUGUGUAUUUUGAAAAUAGAAAAAUAAUUUCACUUUUGAUGGUAAAUUUUUAAA